rnacentral:lncRNA from 10 species
CAAGCAAAUAUACUUAAAAUAUAUUUUUUAAAUCAAUGUCUUGGACAAUUUUCAACUUCUAAACUAAUUUGAGGGAAAAGUUACAUGUUUACACUUUUGAUCCCAACCUGUAUUAAAUACUGAAAUAUCUCAAUUUAUUUUGAUUUUCUGUUAUGUUGCUCUUUAAACAUUUGUUCUUCUGCAUAUAAAGUUCUUGUUCAUUUUUUAAAUCCAUUUAUCACUAAGAACUUACAGAUGUAGUGCAAUCGCAGUUGGGAUUUCCAAAUAAAUAAUCGUAACAUUUAUAUUUGACAAUUAAUGGUGUAAAUUAAUGCCACAAAUAUGUGUGCACUGAUCUUUAAUUGAGCAUCCUUUAUAAAAUUGUUAUUUUAUUCACGAAUAUAUCUAUGGAAAAUUAUAUCACCUGCAUCAUCUGCCAAUAAUAACUUUUCCUUUCCUUUUCUCUUCUAUUCUGUACUUAUAGAACUUCCAAUUUAUUGUUAAAAUUAUUGCCCGGGCACGGUGGCUCACGCCUGUAAUCCCAGCACUUUGGGAGGCCGAAGCGGGAGGAUAAUGAGGUCAGGAGAUAGAGACCAUCCUGACUAACAUAGUGAAACUCCGUCUCUACUAAAAAUACAAAAAAUUAGCCAGGCCUGGUGGCGGGCGCCUGCCGUCACAGGUACUCAGGAGGCUGAGGCAGGAGAAUGGUGUGAACCCGGGAGGCGGAGCUUGAAGUGAGCCGAGAUCCCGCCACUGCACUCCAGCCUGGGUGAUAGAGCAAGACUCUGUCUCAAACAAACAAACAAAACCAAAAACAACAAAAACUCAUCUUUGAGACAUUUGUCUUGUUAUGGAUCUCAGGGGAAUGUUUCUAAUAUUUUGCCAUUAAUACCAAUAUUUCCAUUAAUAUUAUGUUGUAUUUCUUUUAUCAAGAAAUUUUCUUUAAAAUGUAUAAGCUCAUUGCUUAGUACAAUGUUCACAAUGUAUCAACAAAUUUCCUAUAUCUCUUGAAAAAAGGCUUUUCUAUUUUAAUUUGUCAAUGGGAUACAUUGAGUCUGCUGAUUUUUGCAAUGUUGUAUAAUGUUUGCAAAUUUGUUUCAUUGGCGCUAUUGCCAUUAUUACUUGACUUUAUUUGCUCAACUUUGCAGUAUGUUUGUUUCUAUGCCAAUGAGGAGAAUCUGUCUGCGUAUUUUCCCUCAUUAGUGCUCUUGUUUUGAAUUUGAUAGGACGUUGGCUUUAUGGAUGCAAGGCUGCCACAUGUCCCUUGACUUGACCAUGGUGAGAUUAGCAGAUAUGAUGCAACAGAGAUGUGAAAUGGCUCUGUUGAUUUGGGGUUAAUUUGUCUGUCUCUCUUUGGUUAAGCAUAUAGAAAUCUCGGGCAAGACUGAUUGAAAAUAAAAGAUAAGAGAAACAACUGAAUGGUCUCAAGCAUCCCAGCCAAGACUGGUUGCUGAGUGAUUGAAAGCUGAUUCCCAGAUGCGUGAAAGAGCCCAGGCAGGGCGGAGGGCCACCUAGAAUGAGAAAAACUUAUGGUACUUUCAUCUGCCACCGAAUGUCCUGGGUCUUUAAAACCUCCAAAACUCUAACUGAACCGGAAGCUAUGUGUGGUUUUUGCAUGAAGAGGAGCAGGAGUCUCGAAGGCACAGCCAGGCAAGCUAAGUUUCCACUUUAUUCUCUGGAUAUUGAAAUAACAUAAUGACCACAGGCUGUCUUGAAGGCUCUUUUUCUUAACUGCAGUUAUUUUUACUUGUCUUCACUCAUGUAACUUUAAUGAGCAGAAACUUUGAAUUUAAGAGGCAGUUCUGAAAAAAAUCAAUACACUUCACCAUCACUCAAAACUUUUAGUAGCAUAAUCUGAAUCUGAUUAUAUCUUCAUAUUACUAAGUUUGCAAUUUGUUUUCUAAUUAAAAAGUAAAACAGGAGAAUAAAUUUUUGUUGCCAAUUUGAAAGGUCAUUGCAUGUUUUAGCACAGAUGGAAUUAUAAUUAUUUUUGAAGUUACUACAACAAUGAAUUUUCUUUUCAAAAGCCCAAUUACUUUAAAAAAAUCAAAAUAGCUUAUUGGAGAUUCUGUCAUUUGGUUUACAUUUCCCUUGAUAGUGACAAUUUAGACUUGUUCCUGAUGAUUUUGGAGAGCUGAGGGAGCAUCAUUUCUGACAUGCCUUUUUCCUACAUUUAUAUACAUUUUCAUUUAGUUUUCAGCUUAUCCAAUGGUCUUUUCAUUUAUGUUUUUAUUAUGCACUGUAGCAUGUACCUAUUAGAAUAAAGAUGUUAAACUGUGCACCCUACAAGAAAAUUAAAAGAAAAAUAUAUAAGUAACACUUCUCUGAAAUGGAUGGAUGCAGCUGUUGAGAGCAUUCUACUCAUUGAUUUUCACUGUGACUUUACUGAGUUGAAUUGUUGCCAGUGUUCCCAGGAGGCAUGAUUCCCACUCAAGACAAUGUUCUAGAUAUAGUAUUCUUAUUUCUGACACUCUAUGUUCUCAUUACUUUACAUAUUAGUUAAACUUUAUUUGGACACCAGGCAUUUUAGAUUUGAUCUUGUUGGAUGCUCAAGAUCAUCCAACAAGAUGAUCUAAUAUUUUCAUGUGUGUGUGUCCCAGUAAAUAGUCCUGAGCUUUAUUCUGGGGUUCAGUUAGGUAUAUUGAAAACAGUUUGGUCCUUUUUCAUUAAUGCGUAUUAGGUGGUACCAGAGCAACAUUUAAUCUAGGCUAAACUAUCCACUAAUAAAGAUGCUAGACCUUUCUGCGUACUUUACCCAAUCCCAUUGACUUGUGAACUGUUAAACUAGUCUAGCUGGUGAGGACUGCCACUAUUCCCAGAUGUGGCUAAACACAAACAACUCCCCUCUCUGACUAAUUCAGGUGGUUCUUUCCUGCCCUCAGGGAGUUUCGCAAUACACUGUCCUGCUGAAUACUGAGGGGCAUCCAUGGUAGGUCUCUAGAUUUCCUUCUCUUCUUCAAGGCUCUCUCCUGCAAAGGAUGCCAUAUUUUUCUCUGGUUCUGAUUCUCUGACUCUGAUUCUCUGAUUCUGAACUUUGUCUUCUCAAUUCACAGAGUUUCACUGGGCUUUUUCUGAAAUCCACUUCCAUGUGCAGUACCCUGGAAACUCUCUGUUUACGAGCCUGGAAAGCUGUGGGGUUCAAUUCCUUGUUUUGCCCAUCUCUCAUUGCCUUUUGCUGACUGUCAUUAAAAGUG